GUAAAACAACAGCACUCGAGGUCUGACAGUAUUUUACCAAGAAAUGCACAAAAUAUUCAAAAAGAAGGCCUAGAAAAUUUAAAUAUUGGACAAGAACUAUAGAAGAUACAGAGAAAUACUAUACAGCAGAAAUGAUAGGCAAUGUAAAAUUUGCAGAAGCUAACUAAACCUAAAUGGUGAUCAGACAUCUUGGUUUUCAUGAUCAAUAGGUCAUUACUGAAGAGGAAACUUAAAGUCGAAAUUUAUUUACAUAGUGCAUAAUUGGAUUAAUUUGAAAUGGAAUGUGUGCUUUCCUGCAAAAAAGAAAUAGGAAAUUUCAACAUGUGAUAAUGACCAUAUAAAACAAAAUGGAGUUCUAUCAUAGAUACACAAAAACACUAUUGCAUAAAAGCAACAACAUAUCUUAA